CCUACGGGGGGCAGCAGUGGGGAAUAUUGCGCAAUGGGCGAAAGCCUGACGCAGCGACGCCGCGUGAGGGAUGAAGGUCUUCGGAUCGUAAACCUCUGUCAGCAGGGAAGAACGGUCACUGUGCUAAUCAGCAGUGAAUUGACGGUACCUGCAAAGGAAGCACCGGCUAACUCCGUGCCAGCAGCCGCGGUAAUACGGAGGGUGCGAGCGUUAAUCGGAAUUACUGGGCGUAAAGCGCUCGUAGGCGGUAUGUCAAGUCAAGGGUGAAAUCCCCGCGCUCAACGUGGGAACUGCCGUUGAAACUGGCAAACUGGAGUGUGUGAGAGGAUAGUGGAAUUCCAGGUGUAGGAGUGAAAUGCGUAGAUAUCUGGAGGAACAUCAGUGGCGAAGGCGACUAUCUGGCACAUAACCGACGCUGAGGAGCGAAAGCGUGGGUAGCAAACAGGAUUAGAUACCCUUGUAGUC
rnacentral:rRNA from 1 species